GAUGAACGCUGACAGAAUGCUUAACACAUGCAAGUCAACUUGAACUUCGGUUUGGGUGGCGGACGGGUGAGUAACGCGUAAAGAACUUGCCUCACAGUUAGGGACAACAUUUGGAAACGAAUGCUAAUACCUGAUAUUAUGAUUUUAGGGCAUCCUAGAAUUAUGAAAGCUAUAUGCGCUGUGAGAGAGCUUUGCGUCCCAUUAGCUAGUUGGAGAGGUAACGGCUCACCAAGGCGAUGAUGGGUAGCCGGCCUGAGAGGGUGAACGGCCACAAGGGGACUGAGACACGGCCCUUACUCCUACGGGAGGCAGCAGUGGGGAAUAUUGGACAAUGGACCAAGAGUCUGAUCCAGCAAUUCUGUGUGCACGAUGAAGUUUUUCGGAAUGUAAAGUGCUUUCAGUUGGGAAGAAAAAAAUGACGGUACCAACAGAAGAAGUGACGGCUAAAUACGUGCCAGCAGCCGCGGUAAUACGUAUGUCACAAGCGUUAUCCGGAUUUAUUGGGCGUAAAGCGCGUCUAGGUGGUUAUAUAAGUCUGAUGUGAAAAUGCAGGGGCUCAACUCUGUAUUGCGUUGGAAACUGUGUAACUAGAGUACUGGAGAGGUAAGCGGAACUACAAGUGUAGAGGUGAAAUUUCGUAGAUAUUUGUAGGAAUGCCCGAUGGGGAAGCCAGCUUACUGGACAGAUACUGACGCUGAAGCGCGAAAGCGUGGGUAGCAAACAGG
rnacentral:rRNA from 1 species